rnacentral:rRNA from 1 species
AGCACAUGCAUGAUCGAACGUGUGCCUCUCGCGUACAGAGGCAAACGGGUGCGUAACGCGUAAGCAACCUGCCCUCAACUGGGGGAUAGCCCGGCGAAAGCUGGGGUAAACCCGCACGGUCCCUUUCUAUCACCUGGUAGGAUGGGUAAACAUUAAUGGGUUGAGGAGGGGCUUGCGUCUGAUUAGCUAGUUGGCAGGGUAACGGCCUACCAAGGCGAUGAUCAGUAGGGGUUCUGAGAGGAUUGGCCCCCACAUGGGUACUGAGAUACGGACCCAACUCCUACGGGAGGCAGCAGUAGGGAAUAUUGGGCAAUGGGCGAGAGCCUGACCCAGCCAUGCCGCGUGCCGGAUGAAGGCGCUCAGCGUUGUAAACUUCUUUUAUCGGGGAAGAAUAAGGUGUACGUGUACACUGAUGACGGUACCUGCAGAAUAAGCACCGGCUAACUCCGUGCCAGCAGCCGCGGUAAU